rnacentral:rRNA from 1 species
GACGAACGCUGGCGGCGUGCUUAACACAUGCAAGUCGAACGGAAAGGCCCUGCUUUUGUGGGGUGCUCGAGUGGCGAACGGGUGAGUAACAAGUGAGUAACCUGCCCUUGACUUUGGGAUAACUUCAGGAAACUGGGGCUAAUACCGGAUAGGAGCUCCUGCUGCAUGGUGGGGGUUGGAAAGUUUCGGCGGUUGGGGUUGGACUCGCGGCUUAUCAGCUUGUUGGUGGGGUAGUGGCUUACCAAGGCUUUGAAGGGUAGCCGGCCUGAGAGGGUGACCGGCCACAUUGGGACUGAGAUACGGCCCAGACUCCUACGGGAGGCAGCAGUGGGGAAUAUUGCACAAUGGGCGGAAGCCAGAUGCAGCAACGCCGCGUGCGGGAUGACGGCCUUCGGGUUGUAAACCGCUUUCGCCUGUGACGAAGCGUGAGUGACGGUAAUGGGUAAAGAAGCACCGGCUAACUACGUG